AUCUUCUUGUGGCUCAUAAAUGUGCUGGUUGGGUUUCCACGUUAUUGUGGGAGAGGUUUCUGUCAAACCCUGUAAUGAUGUCAGUUCAUUACCCGCAGGUAU
rnacentral:snoRNA from 1 species